rnacentral:rRNA from 1 species
ACGGGUGCGUAACGCGUGGGAAUCUGCCCUUCGGUUGGGAAUAACUGAGAGAAAUUUCAGCUAAUACCUUAUAAUGUCUUCGGACCAAAGAUUUAUCGCCGAGGGAUGAGCCCGCGUAAGAUUAGGUAGUUGGUGGGGUAAUGGCCUACCAAGCCGACGAUCUUUAGCUGGUCUGAGAGGAUGAUCAGCCACACUGGGACUGAGACACGGCCCAGACUCCUACGGGAGGCAGCAGUGGGGAAUAUUGGACAAUGGGCGAAAGCCUGAUCCAGCAAUGCCGCGUGAGUGAUGAAGGCCUUAGGGUUGUAAAGCUCUUUUACCCGGGAUGAUAAUGACAGUACCGGGAGAAUAAGCUCCGGCUAACUCCGUGCCAGCAGCCGCGGUAAUACGGAGGGAGCUAGCGUUGUUCGGAAUUACUGGGCGUAAAGCGCGCGUAGGCGGUUUCUCAAGUCAGAGGUGAAAGCCCGGGGCUCAACCCCGGAACUGCCUUUGAAACUAGGAGACUAGAAUCUUGGAGAGGUCAGUGGAAUUCCGAGU